CUACGGGGGGCAGCAGUGGGGAAUAUUGGACAAUGGGGGAAACCCUGAUCCAGCAAUGCCGCGUGUGUGAAGAAGGCCUGCGGGUUGUAAAGCACUUUCGGUUGGGAGGACUGCUUCUAGCACUAAUAUUGUUGGAAGUUGACGUUACCUUCAGAAGAAGCACCGGCUAACUCCGUGCCAGCAGCCGCGGGAAUACGGAGGGUGCAAGCGUUAAUCGGAAUUACUGGGCGUAAAGCGCGCGUAGGCGGCUAGAUCAGUCGGGUGUGAAAGCCCUGGGCUUAACCUGGGAACUGCAUCCGAUACUGUCUAGCUUGAAUACAGGAGAGGAGAGUGGAAUUCCACAUGUAGCGGUGAAAUGCGUAGAUAUGUGGAGGAACACCAAUGGCGAAGGCAGCUCUCUGGCCUGAUACUGACGCUGAGGUGCGAAAGCGUGGGGAGCAAACAGGAUUAGAUACCCCUGUAGUC
rnacentral:rRNA from 1 species